CAGUAGCCGCGGUAAUACGGAGGGGGCUAGCGUUGUUCGGAAUUACUGGGCGUAAAGCGCACGUAGGCUGCUUUGUAAGUCAGAGGUGAAAGCCCGGGGCUCAACCCCGGAUGUGCCUUUGAGACUGCAGGGCUAGAACGUCGGAGAGGUGAGUGGAAUUCCGAGUGUAGAGGUGAAAUUCGUAGAUAUUCGGAAGAACACCAGUGGCGAAGGCGGCUCACUGGACGACUGUUGACGCUGAGGUGCGAAAGCGUGGGGAGCAAACAGGAUUAGAUACCCCUGUAGUCCCUGUCUCUUAUAC
rnacentral:rRNA from 1 species